CCUACGGGGUGCAGCAGUGAGGAAUAUUGGUCAAUGGACGAGAGUCUGAACCAGCCAAGUAGCGUGAAGGAUGACUGCCCUAUGGGUUGUAAACUUCUUUUAUAUGGGAAUAAAAUGUUCCACGUGUGGGAUUUUGUAUGUACCAUAUGAAUAAGGAUCGGCUAACUCCGUGCCAGCAGCCGCGGUAAUACGGAGGAUCCGAGCGUUAUCCGGAUUUAUUGGGUUUAAAGGGAGCGUAGGUGGAUUGUUAAGUCAGUUGUGAAAGUUUGCGGUUCAACCGUAAAAUUGCAGUUGAAACUGGCAGUCUUGAGUACAGUAGAGGUGGGCGGAAUUCGUGGUGUAGCGGUGAAAUGCUUAGAUAUCACGAAGAACUCCGAUUGCGAAGGCAGUUCACUGGACUGCAACUGACACUGAGGCUCGAAAGUGUGGGUAUCAAACAGGAUUAGAUACCCCGGUAGUC
rnacentral:rRNA from 1 species